AUGUCAUGAUGUGGACAUUUUCGUAGCAAGUCAUUUAAACGCUCCCAUGCUUCAUAUAGGCAUUCUCCUUCAUCUUGGGAAAAUUCACGGAUAUAAGUUCUCAUGGAAUU